UACGGAGGGGACUAGCGUUGUUCGGAAUUACUGGGCGUAAAGCGCACGUAGGCGGAUUUGCCAGUCAGGGGUGAAAUCCCGGGGCUCAACCUCGGAACUGCCUCUGAUACAGCAAGUCUUGAGUCCGGAAGAGGUGGGUGGAAUUCCUAGUGUAGAGGUGAAAUUCGUAGAUAUUAGGAAGAACACCAGUGGCGAAGGCGGCCCACUGGUCCGGUACUGACGCUGAGGUGCGAAAGCGUGGGGAGCAAACAGG
rnacentral:rRNA from 1 species